AUGAAGGCCCAGGUGUGGGGGAGCCACACCCCGGCGACGGCGUCCCCGACAACCUCGGGACCCGACAAGGUCGCGCGAGUUGGCGCGGCAAUGACGCAUAUGGCGGACCAUGCUCCGACCAUGAUGCUGGCGACCAUCGACUCCGUGCAGGAUCGCACGGAGACUCAGGUCAUCCACACCCCAACGCCGAAGUGUUCGGGGUCCACCAUGAUGAUGGGAGAUGGCUCCCCGACAACGGUGUGUGCGUGCGGCUACGUCUUCCUCAACGAGGAGAGAUCCGUGACCACACCCACGCUUGCAGGAGGCAAGCAAAGUGAGGGUUGGUUCCUCGACACCGGCGCCACGAACCACAUGACUGGUUCGGUCGACGCGUUCGCGGAGCUGGACCGCUCAAUCACCGGGAAGGUGCGGUUCGCGGACGGAUCCGUGGUGGAGAUCCAUGGGCGCGGGACCGUCGUCUUCGCCGACAAAGGGGGUGAUCACAGGGCGUUCACGGACGUCUACUUCAUCCCGGCGCUCAAGAGCAGCGUCGUGAGUGUCGGACAGCUCGACGAGGGCUGGUUCGACAUCGGCAUCCGGCGUGGUGUUCUCACCGUGCGCGACCAGCAGAAGAGGCUUCUUAUCGAGGUAACCCGCUCGCCAAACCGCCUCUAUAAAUUCUUCUUUCAACCCGUGCAUCCUGUGUGCCUUGCCAUGGGUCAUGUCUCCGACGCGUGGCGUUGGCAUGCCAGGCUAGGACACCAGCACUUUGACGGGUUGCGGAAGAUGGCGCGAGGCAACCUCGUUCAUGGGCUACCUCACAUCGAGCACGCCGACGAGUUGUGCGAUGCGUGUCUUGCCGGGAAGCAGCGGCGCCUGCCCUUUCCCGAGAAGGCACGCUAUCGGGCGCAGAAACCCCUGGAGCUGGUUCACGGGGACCUCUGCGGCCCAAUCACCCCGGCAACGCCAGGAGGGCGUCGCUACAUCCUGCUGCUCGUCGACAACUACAGCAGGUUCAUGUGGGUGCUGCUCCUCGCCUCCAAGGAUGAGGCGGAGCGAGCCAUCGUCAAGCAGCAAGCGGCAGCAGAGGUCGAGUGUGGCCACAAGCUGCGUGUGCUGCGCACAGACCGUGGCGGUGAGUUCACGUCGGCCACGUUCUACAAGCACUGCGACGAGAAAGGGGUGCAACGUCACCUCACAGCCCCUUACUCGCUGCAGCAGAAUGGCGUCGUCGAGCGGAGGAACCAAACGGUGCUCGGGAUGGCACGCUUCAUGCUCAAGGCAAAACAGGUGCCGAGCACGUAUUGGGGGGAGGCCGUGCUCACGGCCGUCUUCAUCCUCAGCCGCUCCUUCACAAGGAGCGUCGACGGCAAGACGCCUUACGAGGCGUGGUAUGGGAGGAAGCCCGAUGUACGCUUCCUUCGUACCUUUGGCUGCGUCGGGCACGUCAAGACGACGCGCCCACAGCUGAAGAAGCUCGACGACAGGAGCACCCCAAUGGUGUUCAUGGGCUACGAGACGGGCUCUAAGGCGUACAAGAUGUACGACCCCGUCUCAAAGCGCGUACAUGUCUCUCGCGACGUCAUCUUCGACGCAGACGCGCGAUGGACUUGGGAGGCGUCGGGGGAGGCCCCGACAAGCAGCUCUUUCACUGUGGAGUACCCGAUGUACUCUACAACCCCGAGAAGCAAGACCUCGGGAAUUGCCACGCCGGGAAGCCCGGGAGGUGUGGAUCCGGGAACCGCAACCCCGAGAACACCGUCCCCGGGUAUGGUGUCCCCAUACACCCCGACAUCAAACAAGGUGGUUCCCGGGAGGCUGUUGCGACCCCGCCAACAGCAAGGUCGGAGUUGUUCAACGCCGACGACAGUGUUGGCGCCCCCCACAGGUUUCGGUGCAUGGGGGAUCUCCUCGGCGAGGCUGUGGAAACACCGCAACAGCCCGAGGAAGAGGACGUUGAUGACGACGACGUCUUGCAUCUGA
rnacentral:rRNA from 1 species